AUGGACGCUGGCGGCGUGCCUAAUACAUGCAAGUCGAGCGAACGGACGAGAAGCUUGCUUUUCUGAUGUUAGCGGCGGACGGGUGAGUAACACGUGGAUAACCUACCUAUAAGACUGGGAUAACUUCGGGAAACCGGAGCUAAUACCGGAUAAUAUUUUGAACCGCAUGGUUCAAAAGUGAAAGACGGUCUUGCUGUCACUUAUAGAUGGAUCCGCGCUGCAUUAGCUAGUUGGUAAGGUAACGGCUUACCAAGGCAACGAUGCAUAGCCGACCUGAGAGGGUGAUCGGCCACACUGGAACUGAGACACGGUCCAGACUCCUACGGGAGGCAGCAGUAGGGAAUCUUCCGCAAUGGGCGAAAGCCUGACGGAGCAACGCCGCGUGAGUGAUGAAGGUCUUCGGAUCGUAAAACUCUGUUAUUAGGGAAGAACAUAUGUGUAAGUAACUGUGCACAUCUUGACGGUACCUAACCAGAAAGCCACGGCUAACUACGUG
rnacentral:rRNA from 1 species